rnacentral:rRNA from 1 species
AGGAAUUGGCGGGGGAGCACCGCAACGGGAGGAGCGUGCGGUUUAAUUGGAUUCAACACCGGAAAACUCACCAAGGGCGACUGUUACAUGAAAGCCAGGCCGAUGACCUUGCUAGAUUUUCAGAGAGGUGGUGCAUGGCCGUCGUCAGUUCGUACCGUAAGGCGUUCUCUUAAGUGAGAUAACGAACGAGACCCUCACCGAUAAUUGCUACCCCUUCCUCCGGGGAGGGGGCACAUUAUAGGGACCGCUGGCGCUAAGCCAGAGGAAGGAGAGGUCAACGGUAGGUCAGUAUGCCCCGAAUCUGCUGGGCUACACGCGCGCUACAAAGGGCGGGACAAUGGGCUCCGACACCGAAAGGUGAAGGUAAUCCCGAAACCCGUCCGUAGUUCGGAUUGAGGGUUGUAACUCACCCUCAUGAAGCUGGAUUCCGUAGUAAUCGCGAAUCAACAACUCGCGGUGAAUAUGCCCCUGCUCCUUGCACACACCGC